AAUAGUUUGACAACACUCUGGAACCUUACCAAGAAUUAUAUUUUGAUAUUAUUCUUGAGCUAUGUUAGGUCCCUAUUUUGGCUCAAACAAGAUAAAACCACCACUUACUCACCUUAAUAUUUGCUUGAUAAAUAUUUCGGUCCAUUUAUACUUUCAC
rnacentral:snoRNA from 1 species